rnacentral:ncRNA from 18 species
CUGUCCGAGGGGCGCUGCAGCAGGCUAGGCCUGUCAGGCUCGGAUGGGGCGUUGCUCGCUCCCGCGAGCGCUUAACGCACAACGGCGCCCAUUCGCA